rnacentral:rRNA from 1 species
GAUGAACGCUAGCGGCAGGCCUAACACAUGCAAGUCGAGGGGUAUAGGAAGCUUGCUUCCUUGAGACCGGCGCACGGGUGCGUAACGCGUAUGCAAUCUACCUUAUACAGGGGAAUAGCCCAGAGAAAUUUGGAUUAAUGCCCCAUAGUAUUAUAGAGUGGCCUCACUUUAUAAUUAAAGUUCCAACGGUAUAAGAUGAGCAUGCGUCCCAUUAGUUAGUUGGUAAGGUAACGGCUUACCAUGGCAACGAUAGGUAGGGGUCCUGAGAGGGAGAUCCCCCACACUGGUACUGAGACACGGACCAGACUCCUACGGGAGGCAGCAGUGAGGAAUAUUGGACAAUGGGCGCAAGCCUGAUCCAGCCAUGCCGCGUGCAGGAAGAAGCAUCUAUGGUGUGUAAACUGCUUUUGUACGGGAAGAAACCCUCCCACGUGUGGGAGAUUGACGGUACUGUAGGAAUAAGGAUCGGCUAACUCCGUG